CGAGGACUUUCUGGGGUUUGAGCCGUACGACUUCAGCUCCACGUGUCAGUGAGGAUGUCAGAACUGCACACGAUUGAUCGCCGAUCAAUACUCUAUCAACACCAGCAGAUAUUUAUAAAAACAUUAAAAAAUCAGGCGAAUACCAGUCAGCUUUCACCCUGAAGGUCCUCUUUCAUAUUCUUCCUGCUGUGAUUUUCUCUGUGUUCAAGAGCCAGAAGAGAGUGAAAUGCUGAAACGCUCCCAGCAUCUUCAACUUGAUUUUUCCUUUCAAAAGUGUCAACAAGCUCCCAGCUGCUUCAGGAAGGGAACGUUUUACCAGCUCAGCGGAUGCAGAAAAUCAAGAACGCUAACUGGAAAUUGUCCCCGAGGUGCUGGGGUUAGUGAUGCUUGAUUGCGUGAAAAGAAACACAGCGGCCUAUCAAGACGCUCACUUACAUUUUCUGCUGUGACUGUACACUUAUUAAGAUUUCAUAUUCAUUUGGGAAUUUUACAUGCAUUUCAAAAACAUCUAUCUUAAUUUUUUUUUUUAAAUGUGUAAAUGUCAAAUCCAGGCUCUCAAAUAAUGGCCUUUAUCUUUCUAUCCUGUAACACCACAGUCUCCAGCUCUGGAUUGCUCUAAAGCGGGUUUAAGUUAUCCUGUGGCUGCGGGCGGCAGCUGAGGCCUGAGAUGGAGAAAGGUUUUUUCUAUCACAGCCUCCGGGGGGAAAUGUUGAAGAUGCGGCUGCGCCGUAAGUCUUAGCACACGGAUAAAAGCAGCGCUGGAUGGGGAAGUCAAUAGUGCGGGCUGUUAUUGUGUGUCAGUGCUGAGAGAGAAGCUUCAAUGCGACCGUGACCUAUAUUUACCGCUCGAGUGCGUUUCGCUCUUGUUACGCUGAGAGAGAUUCUGGACGGAGAGACACGGAUGAGAGAGAGAGAGAGAGAGCCGUGAGCAGAGCCAUCUGCUAAACCGCAGGCUUCACCUCAAUGACACACACACACACAUGCAGCAAACACACUUUAUAUCAACCUAGUUAAGGCGAGACGCCACAGGUGAACAGGUUAAAAUGAAUUUAAAGAAAUAUAGUUCACCCAAAAAUAUAAAUUAGGUGCAAAUGUUCUCACCUUAAGACCAUCCAAGAUGCAAAUGAGUUUGUUUCUUUAUCAGAUUUGGCGAAAUGUAGCAUUGCAUCACUUUCUCACCAAUGGAUGUGAAUGGGUGCCGUCAGAAUGAGAGUCCAAACAGCUGAUUAAAAACAUCACAAUAAUCCACACAACUACUCCAGUCCAUCAGUUCACAUCUUGAGAAAACAAAAGCUGCAUGCUUGAGAGAAUUUGUUUGAUUUGGU